AGAGAGCGCGGUGUGGCCGCUUGCCUGGCGCGGGGGCUAUAGCCGCAGGGAGGCUGGGCUCCGGAUCAGGAGGAGUUCAUGUCUUAAAAUAAACAACCAGGGACAGUUCUUUCCCGAGGCAAAGCAUCCACCCAGCCCCCCUUCCCCCGAAGGCAGUUGGCUUUGAAUUCUAGGAGAAGUGGUUUCCACCAGCGGCCCGAGACCUGCACCUCGAGUUCGGUCCGGAGCCCGGGGCUCGAGGGCCACACACCCAGCAGUGGAAAUGCCUUCGGUUAACCGAGAAGGUUGACGUUGAAUCCAACUGAGCGGGAAAAUCUGCCGCAUCCGCGCGCUGCAACUGCGAGCACCCGCGAGAGGCGUGCAGGUUGCGCCGCGCUGAGAGGUACUGCUUUAACUCCUUGCAGGCCCCAAGAACCGUCCAACCAUCCAGGUUCACGGCCUGCUUGUGUCACCGGCGCAUAAAUCACUGUCAGCCGGACAGAGCAGGCAGAGAGAAAGCGCGUUAGUCCUGGCCACGCGGGCUCUAGGCAGAUUAACUGUCCCGGCUCAGAGCGAAUUGCCCGCUAAUUUUCCCACCCCGAUCUCCUGGGCUUCAGACGCGAGCUUGCACUUUCUCGGACGCGCAGAGGGAGCCAGGGAGAUGUUUCUAGCCACCUACCGCCUCUUCUCGCCAGGGCCUGAUUACUGACCUGCAGUCAGAGAGACCUACUGUAGAAGAGAGAGAAACCCCAACCUUCAACUGUCAACUGUUUUCCAAACACGAGAUUAAUGUUCCCCAGGACUCAGGGGACCCCUCGUCUCCAGGAACGGUCACGGAGCCCGCACCGCUCACACCAAGGCCCUUCCGCGGUUUUAUGAUUGGUUGCUGUGGUUGGAAUGUUUAUAGAUAAUAAACAACUAAUCCGCGUCUUGCCUAAUGAAUUGCCCCACCCGCGUACCAGUGGAACGGCUGUAACUAGCUCAAGGAUCUAGAGCCAGUGAGGGCCGGGACCGAAACCACCCAACAUAGCCGCAGCUCAGUAUGAAAGCUGAAUGAUCCAAGGCCAGCAGAAGCCUAUUUCGCAUUUUCGAGUUCCUCUGCUCUGGAGCCCCUAGACUCCACUCGGGCUUUGCUCCACCCGCUCCUCUCCCCACCGGUUUGAAGGAUGUAUUCCAAUGAACAGCUUUCUGAAAAGCCUGCGUCUGAAAAGUGGGGCGGCGAUGUGGAGCCUGGUCGCAGGCACCGGACCCGCACUCCGGAGACCGCGGCGCUGGGUCCGCAGCAGCUCUCAUUUGGCCGCACGGGGCCCUUCAGUCUUCCGGCGGCAGAUAGCAGUUUGAAUCGUCCUGACUCUGAAUCAGAUUCUGCACUCGAAGUUGCAAAAGGCUGGGUCUGCCAGGGCUCACGCCCUCGAGU